rnacentral:rRNA from 1 species
UCGAGGAUCUUCGGCAAUGGGCGAAAGCCUGACCGAGCGACGCCGCGUGCGGGAUGAAGGCCUUCGGGUUGUAAACCGCUGUCAGUGGGGAGGAAAUACUAGUGGGAACACCCUCUAGUUUGACCUAUCCGCAGAGGAAGGACGGGCUAAGUUCGUGCCAGCAGCCGCGGUAAUACGAACCGUCCUAACGUUAUUCGGAAUCACUGGGCUUAAAGGGUGCGUAGGCGGCCCGAUAAGUUGGGUGUGAAAUCCCUCGGCUCAACCGAGGAAUUGCGCUCAAAACUGUCGGGCUUGAGGAAGAUAGAGGUAAGCGGAACUUAGGGUGGAGCGGUGAAAUGCGUUGAUAUCCUAAGGAACACCGGUGGCGAAAGCGGCUUACUGGGUCUUUACUGACGCUGAGGCACGAAAGCUAGGGUAGCGAACG